GGGGUUAACCACAAAACAGCAUGAACCAAUCAGCUGGGCCGUGCCACGUCGUCGCUGCACAUCUGCGACUUCACUCGGAGAGCCGUUGGCCAUGAGACUUUCCCUCACUCCAUCUUAAGACGGACCACCAGCAACCCCGGGUGGCUCGCGAGGAGGAGGAGGAGGAGGAGACGGGAGCGCACGCUGCCCCUGUUUGCGCGGCUCGGUCGGGAACCCGGGUGCCUCGCGCUCGGGCAGCAGCGAGUGCUCCUUUUGGGCGCUCUUCCCCCAGCAGACGCAAUGACAUUCUGCUUGGUGGCGGUGGAAAAACUAUAACGAAUUGAAGAGGGCACCAGCGAUGAAGACAAGAUGAAGAAUUGCCGUUCCGUCUCCCCAGUGUUCAGACUACCUGUUCAGGAGGUUAAUGUUGUACAGUAGUCUGCACAUUGGUUAGACUGAGCACGGCCAUUCAUCUCAAAAACUAUGACUCUGUUGUAAGGUAGAUCACUUCACGGAUUAGUUUUGUUGUACGAUUCCAUUGCUCUUUUUCAGUAGAUAUGCAACGUCGCAAUAAUUUACGUCUUUUUGCAGUCUCGUUGUUAGUAAAUGUGAAAAUAUUUUCGAUUCUUUGUUCAUGUAGUGAAAUCGGCAAAAUAAAACCUAGUUAAUAACUCAAGUCUGAAAAGUUUAUUGGUUUUUUUUUACAACUAAAACGUAAUGAGGUGUGAUUUUACAUAACUGCUGAAAAAUUACAAACGAUUUUUACAAAACUUUUUAACGUUUGCAAAAUGUAACUUUGCUCCGAUGACGCAAAGAAGAAUGGGCAAAGGGGUAUUUCUGUUUUUUUUUAUCACAACAACGCAAAAACCAUAAAAGGGAGACGUUGAUUUUUUUUUUCUCUCUCAAGUUGCUUUUUCUGAGAGAGGCUGUGGUGGGGGUUAAGGAAACGCACACUCCCAGCCGAACCCUGACCCCCAUGGGGCUUCCCCAACGAAGACCUCCAAACCCAACGCCUGCAGUGUUCUCCUCCACAGCUCAUCAACAAUGUAGCUCCCCAGUGGGUGCACAAGCCAAUUACGAGACCACAUAUGCUAUUUAUGAGAUAGCUCCACUCUCAAAACGGCUAGUUACUUACUCGCACUCGGGGAUGCUUUACGAGUCGCUAAAACAAUUAAAUGCGUCCACUCAAAUUGUGCUUUUUAUGCGUUGUGACAAAAUAAAAUAUGUUUUGAAAAUGCCUUACGAAAUAUGUGAUUUUGUUUUUACUUGUUUUCGCAGUAUUCAUUUUUCGAGAUGUACUACUUGGUAUACACGCACAUUUUCUGAUGUUAUAAAGUAACGCAAAAAAAGGGAAAGUUUUAAGUGUAUUAAUUUGUGGGGGGAAAAAAUGUCAUGAAAAAGCUACGUAACUUAAGAAGAACAAAGGAAAUAACAUUAGACAGCUUGGACCGCAUGUUUGAAGAAGGAGGGAGCAGAUGUUUAACUUCUGCAGCGAUCCUUUACUGCCAUAGUUAUAUAUGGGCUUUGUGGAUUAUUAACUUUCACAGAUUCUCAAGACAAAAUGUAAAUAAGAGGCAUUAGUCUCUACAAUGGCUAUAAAUAUGGAAUAUCUCUCAAUCGCUGCAGCUCACUGUAAAAAAAUCAACCUAAAUCAUGGAAGAAGGAGGAGGGGGGGGGGGAUAAAAUGCGCCAUUCUCAGAAGAGUGAGCAGUUUGCUUUUCUUUCUGCUGAACAAUUUCCUGUCUUUCCCCCCCCUCCUCUCCCUUUCCUCUCUGCCUCUCUGGCUGGUUCCUCGUGAGGCCUCCGUGCGGGGUGCACUUGGGCUGAACCUCACCACAAAUAUAGUGCCGUUUAUACAUUCCUUUCUUCUCACCA